rnacentral:lncRNA from 1 species
GUUGACAGUAAUAUUGUCAGUUCAAAUUUGAUGCUACACAUAUUUAUUCACCUCCUUUUACUUUAAUCUGUAAUCUUUUUAUAUUAACAUAACUGUUUCAUAUUAUCUGAUGUUUUUCUAUCUUUGUCAUCUGCAGGUGGAAUGUCAUCCUUACCUCAACCAGAGCAAACUGCUGGAUUUCUGCAAGUCAAAAGACAUUGUUCUGGUUGCCCACAGUGCUCUGGGAACCCAACGACAUGAACUAUGGGUGGACCAGAACUCACCAGUUCUUUUGGAGGACCCAGUUAUUUGUGUCAUGGCAAAAAUGCACAAGUGAUCCCCAGCCCUGAUUGCUCUGUGCUACCAGCUGCAGCGUGGGGCUGUGGUCCUGGUCAAGAGCUCCAAUGAACAGCAGAUCAGAGAGAACAUGCAGGUUGGUUUCUUGAAUGGGAUUGUUCCGUGUUUUAAGGGUUGCUCAGUCUAAGGCUGGAUCAAGUUCCCGGGGAAGUGGGGAAACAAGAGCCUGACCAAGUGUGGUCAAGUCCAGGUGGCAGGUUUUUGACUUUGAGUUGACUCCAGAGGACAUGAAAGCCAUUGACAGCCUCAACGGAAAUCUCCGACAUGCUAAGUUACAAUUUUAAGUGAUGCAGAUUCUUUCACAGACCAUUUUCUGCAGGAUGCACAAAAACAGAGGGACACAUCUUUCCUACAUCAGGAAGACAGGCCUGAAUUCAGGCAUGGGGUGAAACAGGAGAUUCACUGUAGCCCUCAGACCAUAGGUUUCCUCCACGGCUCAAUUUCUGACCCAACAGGAAUGUUGGUCUGUAAGUAACACUGCCUAUGUCUGCACCAUUGUGAAUCACUUUUUUUGAUGCCCUCACUACCUGUGCCUGGGUCCUACGCUUUGGACGCUCUUACCCAUUAGACUAGAAGGCACAGGGCUGUCUUAAUUUAUGCUAAAAAAAGAAAAAUUAAUAUGAUAACAAAUAUGUAAUAAUGACUCAAACCUGGUCCCUCUUUGUGUCUCCACCGAGGCAACGUAAGACAUAAUUUUAAUAUUUUUAUGGAGAUGGGCCCAGGUAGGUAAAUGUGCGUAGGUCCUAGGGAAGUCACAGUGGGCCCUGCUUCCAUGUCCUCCCGUAAGAGUCCAGUGGCAUUUCUCCUUAAUGUGGCAUUACCUUUUCAGGACACCAUUUAUAUCUCCCAAAUUUAUGUCUUCCUUGGCUUUCUUCGCCUGUCACAACUCUCAUUUUCUCAGCUCUAUAAAUCUCACCAACCUGAAUGAUAAAUGAAUUAUGAAAUUAAUAGACCCUCAGUGCUAGUGACUGAGGUGUCCCCUAUGGCCUCUACCAAGAUAAGAUCCUCUGGAGUUUCUCUGGAUCCUCAGGGCAAGACUCUUACUCCAGUGUCAUCUUUGUCCAUCUGAAGCCCAUCUCUGGGGAACCCAACAUCCCUUAACUUUGGUUUGUUCACAAACAUGACGUUCCAUUGGAUUAACUGUGGCAGGAUCUCAGGAUUGAGGAGAAAGAAGAGGAAUCAAACACAAAGAAGUUUGGAGGGGAGUGUAGAAAUAGGGAAAAAAUGAAAUUUUUUAUGUGUGUUUGCACCCGACAGAGAUUUUAUAUGCAAAAAUCAAAAAAAGAAAAGCCUCUAUGUCGUUUUAUGCUUCACUUAAAAAAAAACCUGGAUUGUUGUAGAGCAUAUUAACUUAAAAUUCUAUUUAUAAUCCCUUGAUUCAUUAUAUUACUUAUACAUUACAUAUAUAAUAUCAUAAUUAGCAUGGCUUGGAAAUAUAUGCUCAUUUUGCUGCUUAGCAAUGUAAUAGCAUCAUAUUUUCCACUUCUACACUCCAAACUGGUAGAAUAAUUACCAAAAACUAAAAUAAAAUAAAAAUAUGACUAUUUCAGAAAUAGGGAAAAAAUUUUAAUUAUGAGAAUAGAGAUUCAGUCCCCCCCAAAAAUAUGUGAACAGUCUCUCUUCUUUUUGUGAAACCAUACCAGGAUUCUGAGAGAAGACAUUUUUGAACGAACAAAAAUGUGGGAAGUGACUUUUACAUACUGAAAGGCUUUAAGUAGAAAUCUGUGGCCUCCCUCAUGAGAGUGUUUAGACUUGUCUUACUCAUCUCUGUGACCCUAUUCAAUAUCACAGCUCCUGGCACACUAACUACUGAAAAGGUACUCAUUAUUCACAUUCAGUUGGAAAGGACAAAUUAUAAAAAUGAAAAAAAAGAACACGGGAAAAGGAAAACAAAUAAUACUACUAUUACUGAAUAACAAGAAUUCCUACAAGUAAUCAAACAGUAAUCACUUUUUGCUGAGACCAGCUUGAUCGUGGAGACCCUAACCAGUGGCACUAGAGGAAUUAAAGACACACACACAGAAAUAUAGAGUGUGGAGUGGUAAUCAGGGGGCUGACAGCCUUCAGAGCUGAGAGCCACAGAGUCUUACCCACAUAUUUAUCGACAGUAAGCCAGUGAUAAGCAUUGUUUCUAUAGAUUAUAGAUUAACUAAAAUGGGAAACAAAGGGAUGGG